rnacentral:ncRNA from 1 species
GUCGUUCAUCCUUUUUUUAUGAGGACGCAAAAGUUUACUGAAGGAACGGGAA